UGGGGAAUAUUGGACAAUGGGCGAAAGCCUGAUCCAGCCAUGCCGCGUGUGUGAAGAAGGCCUUUUGGUUGUAAAGCACUUUAAGUGGGGAGGAAAAGCUUGUGGUUAAUACCCAUAAGCCCUGACGUUACCCACAGAAUAAGCACCGGCUAACUCUGUGCCAGCAGCCGCGGUAAUACAGAGGGUGCAAGCGUUAAUCGGAAUUACUGGGCGUAAAGCGCGCGUAGGUGGUUAUUUAAGUCAGAUGUGAAAGCCCCGGACUUAACCUGGGAACUGCAUCUGAUACUGGAUAACUAGAGUAGGUGAGAGGGGAGUAGAAUUCCAGGUGUAGCGGUGAAAUGCGUAGAGAUCUGGAGGAAUACCGAUGGCGAAGGCAGCUCCCUGGCAUCAUACUGACACUGAGGUGCGAAAGCGUGGGUAGCAAACAGGAUUAGAUACCCUGGUAGUCCACGCCGUAAACGAUGUCUACCAGUCGUUGGGUCUUUUAAAGACUUAGUGACGCAGUUAACGCAAUAAGUAGACCGCCUGGGGAGUACGGCCGCAAGGUUA
rnacentral:rRNA from 1 species